rnacentral:tRNA from 1 species
UCCCGGCUGGCUCAGUCAGUGGAGCAGGAGGCUCUUGAUCUUGGGGUUGUGAGUUUGAGCCUCAUGUUGGGUA